UCUUUGUUCGCGUAUUGAGGUUGCUUUUUUGAUUUUCAAAAUAGCAUUAAAAGGGAAUCAGGUGAAAUACCUGAGCUGUACCCGCAACUGUAUGCUACCAAGCUUGUUGUUAUCUGCAAAACCAUUGUUCGCUUGGCGAAUGAGAAGGUAAACAACAAGACGCAAGCCAGGAGACCUGCCUAUUACAUCGAGUAUCA
rnacentral:ncRNA from 2 species